rnacentral:rRNA from 1 species
UAUCGGAUUGAUACUAAGCCAUGCGAGUCAUUGUAGCAAUACAAGGCAUACGGCUCAGUAACGCGUAGUCAACCUAACCUAUGGACGGAAAUAACCUCGGGAAACUGAGAAUAAUGUCCGAUAGAACACUAUACCUGGAAUGGUUUGUGUUCCAAAUGAUUUAUCGCCGUAGGACGGGACUGCGGCCUAUCAGUUUGUUGGUGAGGUAAUGGCCCACCAAGACUAUUACAGGUACGGGCUCUGAGAGGAGUAGCCCGGAGAUGGGUACUGAGACACGGACCCAGGCCCUAUGGGGCGCAGCAGGCGAGAAAACUUUGCAAUGUGCGAAAGCACGACAAGGUUAAUCCGAGCGAUUUGUGCUAAACGAAUCUUUUGUUAGUCUUAGAACCACUAACGAAUAAGGGGUGGGCAAGUUCUGGUGUCAGCCGCCGCGGUAAAACCAGCACCUCAAGUGGUCAGGAUGAUUAUUGGGCCUAAAGCAUCCGUAGCCGGCUCUGUAAGUUUUCGGUUAAAUCUGUACGCUCAACGUACAGGCUGCCGGGAAUACUGCAGAGCUAGGGAGUGGGAGAGGUAGACGGUACUCGGAAGGAAGGGGUAAAUCCUUUGAUCUUUUGAUGACCACCUGUGGCGAAGGCGGUCUACCAGAACACGUCCGACGGUGAGGGAUGAAAGCUGGGGGA